rnacentral:rRNA from 1 species
CCCUUAGAUGUUCUGGGCCGCACGCGCGCUACACUGAUGCAUUCAACGAGUUUCUUCCUGGUCCGAGAGGAAUGGGUAACCUUUUGAAAGUGCAUCGUGAUAGGGAUAGACUAUUGCAAUUAUUGGUCUUCAACGAGGAAUUCCUAGUAGACGUAGUUCAUCAGACUGCAUCGAUUACGUCCCUGCCCUUUGUACACACCGCCCGUCGCUCCUACCGAUUGAGUGCUCCGGUGAACAAUUUGGACUGCUUUGAUUCGAUUAGAAUUUGAAGCGGAAAGUUUAGUGAACCUUAUCACUUAGAGGAAGGAGAAGUCGUAACA